rnacentral:lncRNA from 13 species
CAAAGGGCUGUUCCUUUCUAGCAAAGCACAAAACAGUGUUUGUGCUACCUGCCCGUUAAUUUACCAACACAUAUUACUAGUUUCGUAAUGCAGACUGUAUCCAGAUUCGGGGAUGUUUCAAAAUAUACAUAAAUGGAAUUUACUAAAAAGAUUCAAAAUACUUAAAGAAUACUUAAUCAGUAUACAAAUCAGUACUAAUUGUGCUUCUUUUGAAGCAAGGGAAGAGACAAAAACUGCGCUGAACACAAGCAGAAUCCAGUGACUUGCAAGGAAAAACUUUCCCCUAUACGCCUAAUGAACCCAACCUAAGGUCAACUCCCAGUUCCUGAACUCCUUGGAGCAGCUCAAAUCCUAGCUUUCUUCUGCAGAGAAGGGGGAGGGGAGGUGGGCUUGCAGAGGGACAAUACCCGCCCUUUUGUGCAGAAUAACACCUCUUCCCCUUAUUAGCACUUUCGAUCAGUUCAAGGCAAGUGCGGUUAAGGUCCUGGCCUCAGUAGCUUGGUGUGAGGCGGACUCCACCAAAAGGUUCUCAAGCCUGGCGGCAACCCGGCCCCACAAAGCGCGGGUUCGGAGGUUGGCGGGAAGACAAAGACGCAUUUGCCGUGGGGUCCGGACGCAGAAGGGAAAUGACCCGGAAAACUAAAGACCUUGGAUCGGGUCUGAGGAUUUUGACAGAAGGAGGAUAUACACAGAUAUUACAGGAAGAAAAAGGAAAUGAGCGCACAUCUUACCGAUUUUUGUAUGACUCCAGUUACUACUAAAAAGACUCAAAAACUGUUUUUGCCAAGACAUCAAUCAGGAAUGAAGCAGGCCACAGGAAGAAGUGGAGAGAAGUGCUCCUCAAGCUGCCUGGGUACCAUGCCUUUCUUCCCAUAGGGGAUGCCAUUGUACUGGCAGUUGUCUUGGAGGCAAGUAUUUAUUUAUUUAAAGAUAUAAUUUUAAUUAUAUGAAACCCCAAAUUUAAGAGUGGGUAAAAUAUUAACAGAACAAUUAGAUGUAUUGUUUAUCACCUUGAUUUCCAAGCCCUUUCAGACUCAAAUCCAUUUGGGAGUCAUAAAAGAUCACCAGGACUGGCCAUUUAAAAAAUUACCUCAAAUCACAAUUAGCAGCUCUUUAUUUGCCGGUUUUAUGCAUACACUAAUGUGCUGUUUCUGUUUCCAUUUUAGAAAUGAUUUGCUAUGACCAACUACACUGAAAAUGAGUGCACAGGCAGAGGUUGAGGUCAUUUAAAAGCAAACACAUUCAAAAUUUGAAGUUAAAUAGUGUACUUGCCAUAGGUGUUUAAUUUUUCUUAUACUUUGGUUUUUGGUGAUCUUCUGGGUGAGGACUUUGAAGAUUAUAAUUAUUUCAAAAAAUGCUUUAGGUGAUGGGAAAGGUCUCAAAAGAAAUCUAGAAAAACAAAACAUAGCACCUGUGGAAAGGAAGGGAAGAAAGGAGGGAGGGAGGGAAAGAGAGAGAAGAGAGAGAAAGAAAACGAAAGAAAGUAUACUAGUAGAUAUUUAUUUCUCUUCAUGUUUUCAGCAAAAGACAUUGACUGGAAAAUUUUAAAAUUAUAUUUAAUUGUAGUAAAAAUGAUAUUAAUAAAGAGAAAAGUAUCAGUUUCA